GAUGAACGCUAGCUACAGGCUUAACACAUGCAAAGUCGAGGGGAAACGGCAUUUAGUGCUUGCACUGAAUGGACGUCGACCGGCGCACGGGUGAGUAACGCGUAUCCAACCUACCCAUUACUGUGGGAUAACCUGCCGAAAGGCAGACUAAUACCGCAUAGUCUUCGAUGACGGCAUCAGAUUUGAAGUAAAGAUUUAUCGGUAAUGGAUGGGGAUGCGUCUGAUUAGCUUGUUGGCGGGGUAACGGCCCACCAAGGCGACGAUCAGUAGGGGUUCUGAGAGGAAGGUCCCCCACAUUGGAACUGAGACACGGUCCAAACUCCUACGGGAGGCAGCAGUGAGGAAUAUUGGUCAAUGGGCGCGAGCCUGAACCAGCCAAGUAGCGUGCAGGAUGACGGCCCUAUGGGUUGUAAACUGCUUUUGUAUGGGGAUAAAGUCAAUCACGUGUGAUUGUUUGCAGGUACCAUACGAAUAAGGACCGGCUAAUUCCGUGCCAGCAGCCGCGGUAAUACGGAAGGUCCGGGCGUUAUCCGGAUUUAUUGGGUUUAAAGGGAGCGUAGGCCGGAGAUUAAGUGUGUUGUGAAAUGUAGACGCUCAACGUCUGACUUGCAGCGCAUACUGGUUUCCUUGAGUACGCACAACGUUGGCGGAAUUCGUCGUGUAGCGGUGAAAUGCUUAGAUAUGACGAAGAACUCCGAUUGCGAAGGCAGCUGACGGGAGCGCAACUGACGCUUAAGCUCGAAGGUGCGGGUAUCGAACAGG
rnacentral:rRNA from 1 species